GUUUUCAAAAAGCUCGCUUCUCCUUUUUUCUGCAGGGUGGUUUACCCUAAAACCCGGCUGAUUUCUGAGAGCUCCUUUCAGCAAGCGACAGACAGCUCUUGCAAGCCUGCAGAAGCCUCCUACUUGUUUUCUGAGGCAGAAAGCAGCACAUUCUGAUAAAAGUAAAAAACAGGGUGAAUAUAUAAUGGAUUUUUCAGAAGGUCUAUUACAUUAUUAUCUUCACAUGUCACUUCAUUAGAUAUUGUGAGAAUGGAGAGAUAAGCACUGAAAAUGUGUUUUGCCGUCAGCCACCAGUACUCAAAGCUCUUCGCACGGGGUCCAUAGCUCUGCCUAGUUGGAGGGACCUCUGUGCUUACAGCAUCUCCCUGCAGAUGGUUUCUCCAGACCAACCAGUCUGUGACUUAGCACUCGUGGAGCAGCUGCAGCUGCAGUUCGGCUACGUGAUCCAGCAAACAAGUGCUCUGAUUGUGAUGCUCAUGAGGCAGGUAAGUUCCAGAGAAGCUGUGAAGAGUGAAUGCUGAUUUGUGAAUUGCUGCUCACAGAGAAAGCCCAGGGCCGGUGAUGGCUGCUCUCUACUCAGAAAUUGUGAGUGCCUCUGUGUAAACCUCAUACCUUGAAUGCUAGGCACUGACUGCUUGACUUAUUACUGUAGUACAGACUUGUAUUUGAUACGUAUUUUUUGCAUUAAAUAUUUCAGCUCAACAGAAACAGAAUUUUUAAGGUUUUUCUAUAAUGUUUUAAAACACCUUUAGAUAUAUCCUGGAUUGUUUGAUAGAAAGAGAUUUUAAUACUUCAACUUGGAGAGUGACUUGAAGUUUAACAGACAUCUGAAUGGGUAUUAAAGCUCAUAUAAAGUUAUAAAAAUGAGCAGAAGUGCAAAUGAGCAGCAGCAUCAGAUUUUAAUGCCCCUUUUGUUGAAUCCCACAGAUGUCAGGAUCUGGCAGUCGUGUUUCCCAGAGAAGCAAAAGCUAACGAUAGCAAACCUGACGCACUUCCUAACACAGUUUCUCUCUGUACAGGCAGACGUGCAGCACUGCCACUGACUGUGGAGGGAGAAGGUUUGGAGCUGCCUCUGUUGAGCAUCUCCUCCUCUGACAGCUGUCCAGAAGUGCAGGCUGCUCACAAACUGUCCUCGAGCAGUGCCUUUGGCUGCUCGCCCUCUGCAAAACACAUAGGCAGCAUCUCACUGCGCUGAGGGUGAUUUCCUAUUUGGGGUUUAAGUGCAAAUGAAGGGGUGGCUAUUGAUCCUCAGGGACGUGCAUUGCAAUGGUCUCUGUGAGGGGAAAGCCUCCUUUUGUGUUCUUGAGAUGGCUAAAGUCAGCUGAAUGAGCUAUUUCUGAGACAGAAACUGUGGCCUUUCACCAUGUGAUUCACUUCCUCUGCUAUUUUGACGGAGCUUGUUGACUUUUAUAACCUCAUUUGCAAAGGCAGACAGCAACCAAAACUUUCAGUUGACCUCAGCAAAAGCUACGAAGUGUUCAGCUUUUCCAGAAACUCAGGUAAUGGGAGCACAGCGCGAGGGAGCUUUAUGCCUUGCCCCAGCUUUUUGCUUGAGAAAGGAGGUGUCAAGCUGAGUUAUCAUAUUAGGCUGAGCGAUCACAACCAUUAUUUCUGAAUCGAGUGUUUACCUCUUUGCUCUAAAGAGCCAAUAAGCCUGUUAAUUUUGUAUGCACCCAGAGAAGUUGAUACUUAGUGAAAUAUAAGUAAAUAAGUCAUUUUCUGCUUGAGACUACUUCUGGAAAAUGUAUUUCUUCCAAAAACUUAGCAAACUGAAGAGGACUUUUUCUUCCUUUCCUUCUUCCCUCUUCUCCUAGUUCCAUCUGGUGUUUCUGCGUGGUAUUGUUUUCUUUAGCUAUCUUCAAUGUUAAAUACCUCAGAAGUUACAUCUACGGUGUUAGAUAAUCAUUUGCCUUCCCUCAACCAGUUUUCUCUGAAAAUUUCAGAUUGCUUUUUCAGCUCAAAUUGCUGGAAAAUACAAGUUAGUCUGCAGAAGGGCCUAACAGAGGGAAGACAAAGUAUAAAAUCAGCACAAAGAGGACUGGGAGCAGAAGGUUCCUUAGUGAGGCAUCAGGGAAGUAAUUACACCAAAUGACUGAGGGAAAGAGCCAUACAGCUGCAGUGAGUGACAUUUUGAACGCUACUCUGUAGGGCACGUUUCUCUAUGUGCCUCGGGGGACCUGGCUGGCUCCUCUUCUUCCUUGACUCCAUAUUAAAGUCAAGAAACCAUAACAUAGUUUUAGGUCACAUCAAGUAGUUAAUGUGGGAAUGGGAAAGGGGAGAAGAUAAUACAGAGACAGGUAUGCUGUCCCUCCAAGAAAGAAGUCCUGUACAAAUCCUUUUAGCCCUGGAUUGGAGGGUGGCAGAUACUAAUGCUAGGAAUUAAGCCCUUGUAAGUUGCCCAGAUGCUGCCUGUGAACCAAACAUCAGAAGAUCUCUUCCGACGUAACAGACCGCAUCAUAAUCCUGGCAAGUGUGCCCUUAUUAGAGCAGGACUUACCUCUUCAUAUAUUAUUCAUGAAAAUACUACAAUGUCUUCAAACAUAUCUUCUGCAGCAGGCAGUCUAACAUAGGAAAACAAAACCACAUAUGUCUAAUAGUAAGAGACAUUGUAAAGCUAUUGUAGUGGCAUACCUCCUUAGCAGUGGCAAAGUACUGCAUUAUAGAUUAAAGCAACACAAACAGAUUACAGUUUGUACAGUGUUUCACUUUUAUUGGAUGUAUGUUGCUAAGAAACAAAAUUGAAAUGUCUCUUUUGAACCUGAAACCUCUUGGGAGCGUGGUAUUGCACAUGUAGUAAAUGUUUUUCUCUUUAGGAAGGAGUAAAUGGUGGGCCAAGAGAAGCAGGAGGGUUCAUUAGUAUUGCAUGUUUUCCAAUCUACAGCUAGUGAACCCAGCUAUUACAGUAGUAAAAGCUAUGUAAGGAGCUUCAGUUUAUUCUGGGAAGAAGUGUUGACAGCUGCUUGUAUGAAUAUUAAUAAAGUCUAUUGAGUUAUUCGCUGCCUGUAUUGUCUGUAGCUUGAAAGAGCGAAGACUUCUCUGUGUAUUGCGUCUUUAUGUUUCGAAGUACACGCCUGUCUGCAGAGACGGUACCCAUUUUGUUCCUAGAGAUGGUAUGCCUCAUUAUACAGAAAAUUACAGCCUUGUGCUCCAUUAAACAUUUAUUUUGGCAGCAUUGUUGGUUACUGUUUUUCCUCUUUGAUUUAAAUAAGUCAAUGCUGAUUAAAAGAACAUGUGUUUUCUCUUAUGUAUGGUAAUUAAUCAUUAUUCUCCCAACUUUUACAAAUAAAAGUCAAAGUUAUUCCUGAACCACAUGCAAGAAAAUAAAAUUAAUUCUCCUUUAAAAAAAAUUGUUAGGUCAGAAGUAUGAUAGAGAAAUGAAUGACUUUAUAGUUCAUAGUAUUCUUCCAAUUCAUGGUUUAGCUGCAGAUGGUUUGUUAAUAACUUGAUGAUGCAUCAAUUUACUUCCAGUAGGCAGUUUCUGCAGAAUGAUAGUGCUGGUUAAAGUUCAAGGAGCGCACUAAAAAGUUGGUCAUUCAGAACAGCAGCCCCUGACCCUUCUAGUGACAGGAGGCCUGAGGCCUUUGCCACCUCCUCAAUGCAGAUGCAACUGCUGUGCAAGACGGGCUCCAGAACAACCAGGGCUCUGGGCAAACCAGCUUCCUUGGUGGCCUGCAGCAAGCUCAGUAGCUGAGCAGCCCCGAUUAAAGCUGUAAAUAUUGAGCAUCCCCAUUUUUACAUGCGAGUUAGUGGGAAGGAUUAGUGUGAAGGAAUAAUACAAAGAAACCAAUGAGCCGGGAAAAGUAUCUUGAUGAAUGGGCUAAAUGAAUUCAUCACUAACAGAAGUAUCUUUCCAUUUGAAAGAAAAAUGUGAGUGUCUAAGUGAAGACAAUUUAAUCAAAUUUACAAUCCAUGAAGAAGAGAGAAGAAAUAGAAUGUAUUUUUUGCCAUCUUACAGAACUGUAACUGAUUCCUAGACAGUGCAAAGACCUAACAGGUUGUCACGGUGCUCGAGACCUGCAAAAGCUCCUUGGGACUAGAACAAUAUUCCUUUUUGACAUCAAGCUGAUUUCCACCAAGAUUAAAAACCAUUUGCAUAAUUUACACAUAAUUUACUGCAAAGAAGGUAACCUUAUAAAUGUUUGAAGCUAUCUUUCAUCCCUUUAAAAAAAGUUACAGUAAAAGCUGAAGUUUUGAUUUUUUUAAAGCCCAAGAUCCAUCUUGAAACCCACGUAGAAGGAUGUUAUAUAACCUUGCUGGAAGUGUGGUACCUUAUCAGGAGGGCUGGAUGUGUGGGGAAAGCUGCUGCACAAAUGACAACACCUGGCCUGCCUGCAUCCACAUCGUUGUAAGACCAAGCUACACAGAAUGUGAUAAAACUUGCACAAAAACUGCUGUGGUUUGAUAGGCUGGUGAACUAAGGCUGGCAAUGUACACAGUGUAGUCUGUGAGGAAGUACCAUUUUAAUUCACAAGUUUAUUGAAUCAAAACCACAAUAUAAUGCAGUCAUUUUCCUAAUGUAUAAACACUGAUCUGCCAUUUUUAUUGCAAAA